rnacentral:rRNA from 1 species
GAUGAACGCUGGCGGCGUGCCUAAUACAUGCGAGUCGAGCGAACAGACGAGGAGCUUGCUCCUCUGACGUUAGCGGCGGACGGGUGAGUAACACGUGGAUAACCUACCUAUAAGACUGGGAUAACUUCGGGAAACCGGAGCUAAUACCGGAUAAUAUAUUGAACCGCAUGGUUCAAUAGUGAAAGACGGUUUUGCUGUCACUUAUAGAUGGAUCAGCGCCGCAUUAGCUAGUUGGUAAGGUAACGGCUUACCAAGGCAACGAUGCGUAGCCGACCUGAGAGGGUGAUCGGCCACACUGGAACUGAGACACGGUCCAGACUCCUACGGGAGGCAGCAGUAGGGAAUCUUCCGCAAUGGGCGAAAGCCUGACGGAGCAACGCCGCGUGAGUGAUGAAGGUCUUCGGAUCGUAAAACUCUGUUAUUAGGGAAGAACAAAUGUGUAAGUAACUAUGCACGUCUUGACGGUACCUAAUCAGAAAGCCACGGCUAACUACGUG